UACGUAGGGUGCGAGCGUUGUCCGGAAUUAUUGGGCGUAAAGAGCUUGUAGGCGGUUUGUCGCGUCUGCUGUGAAAAUCCGGGGCUCAACCCCGGGCUUGCAGUGGGUACGGGCAGACUAGAGUGUGGUAGGGGAGACUGGAAUUCCUGGUGUAGCGGUGAAAUGCGCAGAUAUCAGGAAGAACACCCGUGGCUAAGGCGGCUCUCUAGUACGGUACUGACGCUGAGACGCGAAAGCGUGGGGAGCGAACAGG
rnacentral:rRNA from 1 species